AUUGAACGCUGGCGGCAGGCCUAACACAUGCAAGUCGAACGGUAACAGGAAGCAGCUUGCUGCUUCGCUGACGAGUGGCGGACGGGUGAGUAAUGUCUGGGAAACUGCCUGAUGGAGGGGGAUAACUACUGGAAACGGUAGCUAAUACCGCAUAACGUCGCAAGACCAAAGAGGGGGACCUUCGGGCCUCUUGCCAUCGGAUGUGCCCAGAUGGGAUUAGCUAGUAGGUGGGGUAACGGCUCACCUAGGCGACGAUCCCUAGCUGGUCUGAGAGGAUGACCAGCCACACUGGAACUGAGACACGGUCCAGACGCCGACGGGAGGCAGCAGUGGGGAAUAUUGCACAAUGGGCGCAAGCCUGAUGCAGCCAUGCCGCGUGUAUGAAGAAGGCCUUCGGGUUGUAAAGUACUUUCAGCGGGGAGGAAGGCGAUAAGGUUAAUAACCUUGUCGAUUGACGUUACCCGCAGAAGAAGCACCGGCUAACUCCGUGCCAGCAGCCGCCGUAA
rnacentral:rRNA from 1 species